UUUCUAUCUAUAUUACAUAUUGGGCUUUGUAUCCUUUGGGGAUGGUUUAUACAGUAUUCUCAGAGCGAAGUUACCACUCUUCAAAUACUGUAGUGCCGACAAGAUCUCUGUAUGGUGGCCCAAG